CCGACGGGUGAGUAACACGUAUGCAAUCCACCUGUAACAGGGGGAGUAACCCGGAGAAAUCCGGACUAAUACCCCAUAAUAUGGGCGCUCCGCAUGGAGAGCCCAUUAAAGAGAGCAAUUUUGGUUACAGACGAGCAUGCGCUCCAUUAGCCAGUUGGCGGGGUAACGGCCCACCAAAGCGACGAUGGAUAGGGGUUCUGAGAGGAAGGUCCCCCACAUUGGAACUGAGACACGGUCCAA
rnacentral:rRNA from 1 species